rnacentral:lncRNA from 1 species
CAAGUGGUAUCAGAGCCUCGUUACUUCAGAUACGCUUCACCGCGUGAAGUAUGAAGUUGGAGGAGGUUCGAGAUCCGCCCGAGAACCAAAGGAUGAUGUAAUUGUCGAGGAUACAAGCAGUGGUAGUGAAAUGUCACUGUCCACAGCAAGCAAUGCCACCCUCAAAGAUGACAAGACCACUGAUGCGGAAAGAAAGAAAGAAAGAAAAGAAAAACAAGAAGAGAAGCAAGGAGAAAAGCUAAAGAAGAACAACAAAAGCAUGAUGAGAAGCUGAAGAGAAAAGAAGAAAGAAAGCGCAUACGCGAAGAAAGAGCAAAAAGAAGAGCUGCAAGAACAAAGCAAGAAGAAAAGAAGAUCUAUGAUGCAUCUUCUAGUGAGCUAUCUAGUAGCUCGGAAGAUGGUGAUGAUGAUGCAUCAUAUCACAUUUCCAAGGAACAAGAGAAGAACAAGAAAAAGGCAAACAAGGACA